GAUGAACGCUGGCGGCGUGCCUAAUACAUGCAAGUCGAACGCUGGAGCUCUAGCUUGCUAGAUCGAAGGAGUGGCGAACGGGUGAGUAAUACAUAAGCAACCUACCCACGAAGACUGGGAUAAUCUCUGGAAACGGGGACUAAUACCGGAUAGGUAAUCGGAAGGCAUCUUCUGGUUAUUAAAGGUUAAAAACACUGGUGGAUGGGCUUAUGGCGCAUUAGUUAGUUGGUGAGGUAACGGCCCACCAAGACGAUGAUGCGUAGCCGGCCUGAGAGGGUGAACGGCCACAUUGGGACUGAGACACGGCCCAGACUCCUACGGGAGGCAGCAGUAGGGAAUUUUAGGCAAUGGGGGCAACCCUGACCGAGCAACGCCGCGUGAGUGAAGACGGCCUUCGGGUUGUAAAGCUAUGUUGUAAGGGAAGAACGGUAGAUAGAGAAUAUCUAAGUGACGGUACCUUACCAGAAAGCCACGGCUAACUACGUG
rnacentral:rRNA from 1 species